UGCAAUCAGGAUAAUGCAGUGCCUUUCAGAGCCAUUUUCAUUUUUGAAGUGCUCUUUCAUCAUUAGCUAAUAAAUACUCAUCAAUGAAUUUUCCUCAGCGUCUUGGAAGUUGGAGGAAAAAGAAAAUCGCUUUCUAUUUCUAGAGAUGCUGGUUUUCCACAUCCUGUCGGACUCAUCUAUCCAGGACGGUAGCGCUCCAGGAAAAAUUCCCUACUGAAGGGGAACCGAGAGCCUGGAGGAUCUCUUAGAAAGAAACUGGUUCAUACCUUGCCAGCUGCAUCUCCCUUGCUUCUUCCAGGACAGAAUGGGUUGAAAGAACCAGCAGGAACUGACAAGGAUGACGUGCGAGUCCCUGGACAGUUUCCUCUUUGUGAAUAAAGCUAUCAAUUUAUUCAUUGGAUUUUGGUCGAUAAGCAAGGCAGCAUCACCACGUUUGGACUGUGAACAGGCAGCAAAGUAUCACCACGAGUGUUUGCACAGAAGAGUGACGUCAUCAGGGAGGCACACAUCCGGAAGACUCAGCCGAGAGUCAUGUGUAAAACGGAUUACAGUGGUUUCAGGAAGCUACAUGGGAAGAUAGAGCAAAAGCCCAGUGGAGAAAAAAAAAUGAGAACUUCACCAAGGACGAUUGCAGCAGGAAUCAAAGAAGAGGACUAAUUCAAGAAGUGCAGUGGAGAAAGAAUGGACAGAGCUUGGCAACUAAGUGGCCAUGAAGGAGGGGCAUGAGAGGGAGGAAUUCACAAUGACACAGUCGCUGUGAGGUUUCCCCAGAGAGCAAUUGGGCAUUUGUCCAGUGGCCAGUGGGAGUAACUGAACUUUCCGCACUUUUCUUGCUGAGAAUCAAGGAGGGAGCAGCAGUGGCCUGUUCACUGUGUAAACUUACCCCUAUAACCCAUCAUUUUGGGUAGACGACGGCCUUGACAUAGAGUGAGUGGGAUCAUAUGAUCCCGUUGCCACCGCUGUGGCCCCGCUCGUAAUGGUGAUGAUCUCUAACCCUCAGGUUACUGUGAGUUAGUGGGGCUCUCUGCACACAGAAGCAGGGAGAAUUCCCCAAAGAAUUGAGAGGGGAAAAUUUAACAGAAAGUCAUACAGAGUGAAGUAGGUCAGAAACAGAAAAACAAAUAUCAUAUAAUAACACAUGUAUGUGGAACCUAGAAAAAUAGUACAGAUGAACCUAUUUGCAGGGCAGGAAUGGAGAUGCAGACGUAGGGAACGGACGUGUGGUCACGGGGUGGUGGUGAAUUGGGAGAUUGGGAUUGACGUAUGUGCACUGCCAUGUGUAAAACAGAUAGCUAGUGGGAACUGCUGUAUAG